rnacentral:rRNA from 1 species
CCUACGGGGCGCAGCAGUAGGGAAUCUUCCACAAUGGGCGAAAGCCUGAUGGAGCAACGCCGCGUGGGUGAAGAAGGUCUUCGGAUCGUAAAACCCUGUUGUUAGAGAAGAAAGUGCGUGAGAGUAACUGUUCACGUUUCGACGGUAUCUAACCAGAAAGCCACGGCUAACUACGUGCCAGCAGCCGCGGUAAUACGUAGGUGGCAAGCGUUAUCCGGAUUUAUUGGGCGUAAAGGGAACGCAGGCGGUCUUUUAAGUCUGAUGUGAAAGCCUUCGGCUUAACCGGAGUAGUGCAUUGGAAACUGGUAGACUUGAGUGCAGAAGAGGUGAGUGGAACUCCAUGUGUAGUGGUGAAAUGCGUAGAUAUAUGGAAGAACACCAGUGGCGAAGGCAGCUCACUGGUCUGUAACUGACGCUGAGGUUCGAAAGCGUGGGUAGCAAACAGGAUUAGAUACCCCUGUAGUC